GGAAACAUCAACAGGGGACAGAAAGACUUCUAUUCACCAAAACAAUACAGGAGUGCCAGCAUCCACUGAUGGAGGAGGAGGAUGAAGAAGAUGGAGGACAUUAGCACCAGUAUCCACAGCUGCCUGAGGAGGAAACAUCAACAGAAAGCAAAACAAUCAAAACAAUUAAUGUAAGUAAAGCCUCUCAUUGGCACAGAAAGACACUGAACUAAUGUUUAAUGUAAAAAUAGAGGUGACUUUAUACUAAUGCCUGUAAAAUGUUGGACUGGAACAAUGGCAUCUACUGAUGGAGGAGGAGGAUGAAGAUGGAGGACAGGAGCACCAGUAUCCACAGCAUCCUGAGGAAACAUCAACAGAGGACAGAGACUUCUAUUCACCAAAACAAUACAGGAGCACCAGCAUCCACAGCAUCCUGAGGAGGAAACAUUACCAGAGGACAGAAAGACUUCUAUUCACCAAAACAAUCAAUAGUUUUGCUUCAGAGGAGAAUCCGACAGUUCCAGAUGUUCGUCACCAGCACUGCAGUGUUUACACAGACUGCUUUGGUUUCAACUUUCUACAAAAAACUGUUGAAUUUUCAACUCACUUUCCAUCUGAAUCCAAGCUCAUCUUCAUCACUGGGAUGUUUCUUCAUCAGUUCUUCGUACAGACUGACACAGCUCACACAUGGAGAAGAUGAUUUAUGGAAUAUGACAUUUAGAUUUUUCCUUUUCUCAACAGUAUGAUGCAUACAUCCCAACCCAAAUUUCAUGCAUUUUUUUGGCUUAACUUGAGCCAAUUUCCAUCAAUAAAUUGCUAAUGUAUUAUUAUUGACUAUUACUA
rnacentral:lncRNA from 1 species